UUAUGGCCAUACCAUGUUGAAACACAGGUUCUCAUAUGAUCACUGAAGUUAAGCAAUAUUGAGAUUGGUCAUUGCCUAAAUGGGUGACUGCUUUGGAAUAUCAGGUGCUGUAA